GCAUCGGUGGUGAAAAGAAGACAAUGCCUCGCGCUGCCACAGCGGGCGCCCGGGUUCGAUCCCGGCCGAUGCA